CUAGUCACUUGCGUAUUUAAAUUUGCUUAUAUAAUGUGCUAACCCGGAAACAAUGGAUAAAGGAAAACUACCAACUUGGCAGAAACACUGUGGGGUACUAGUACAAGUACAAUUUUGCUUGGCAUUUCCGGUUAUAGAGUUAGUAGUAUAGUUAUAAAAACUAUACAGGUUGGGAAAUUAAUCAUUACGCAUCUAUAGAUGCUUCAAGGCGAAAUAUAUGGCAAUGCGCACGCAUGCAUUUCGUGUGCUCGGCUACUCGCCUGCUACGUCGUUGUUUUAAGUACGACAAGUAGUAAGCGACUAAAGCGACUGACUGCUAAGUGUAUUACUUGCAAUAAAAUUUCGCAAAAUAUUACACGAAAGUUCAGGCAUUUUUUAAAAUAAAAUUUGUUAGCCUAUAAUAAAUUCGUGUUUGUAAAUGGUAUCCUUAAGGCUCCGCUACCUAUCCUUUCGAGUAGCUGCGGGGCAGCGGUGAGAGGCGAGGAAGAAAUUAUCUUACGGCGUCCAGUAUAGCAGAGAAAUUCUUAAAACGACGAACGUUAUAUUCCGGGUAUUCUGGGGAUUAGGGCUGGUUUAUUAUAAAGUUACGGUUUUUGCCUUUCCCACAGGCGGCAGGGUAUGAGAUAGGUAGGGACACAAAAAUCGACAUUAUUAUUCACCCUAAUAGUUAUUGGUCUAAGUUGUUUUAAAGAGAUGUUAAAUAUGGAUGAUUAUUAUAGAAAAGGAACAAAAAAACGACUUGAAUGAAAACACGAGGUUGAAUGCAAAAAGGAAACGUCCAAAAUAGAGAAUAUAACUUACAGUAUAGUAUACGAUACUUUUUUUAUUUGAACAAUGCCAUUGAUAAGCGACCGGUACACGGAUCCAAUGGCAGCUUGAUUUUUUAGUGACGCCCUUACACGCGUUUAUAUACAUGCGAUUAAUGCGUUAUAUGUAAAUGGACAUUGAAUUUUUCUGAAAAAAUUGCGACGUUUCCUCGAAGACGAAGUCCUCUAUAUCAACUAUUUUAUUAGUUUUUUUUUUAAUCGUGGCCUUGUAACUGUAACCGGUUCUGAGAAAAAAUAACUUGUGAAAAGGCCGCUACGUCCUUGGAAUACAGAAGAACAUGGAAUACACUAGAAUAAACAUUGGCUGCUUUGGCUUGAGCGCAACAUCUACACAGGGGGCAGAGAGGAUAUUUUGUUCAUAAACAUGCUUCGUAUUCCAUGUUGCUAGUAAUUACUCAAUUUUAACAGAAGGAAAUAAAGUGAUAUAAUAAAUUAUUAUAAUUAGCAGAAA